AGCUUCUUCCUUCAUUCAUCUUCUCGAUCAAUCAUCGCCGCCUCAUAAAAUAUCACCUUAUAAUCAUCGCCACAUCAAAUAUCACCUUAUAAUCGUUGCAAGUAUCAUAAUCUAAGGUAUGAAGAUGUUGAUCGACAACUCCAGAAAUGAUGGUUGUGGUUCGACUAGGAAGAAGAUGUUGACGGUGAUUCGAUUAGGUUUGAUUUCAUUUUUUGUGACAAAUAAUUCAAUUCGAAUGCUCGCUUUUGUUUGAUUAGAAGAAGAAUGAAGAUGUGUUGGGGCGACGGUUGGAUAUGGAUUGUUUUAUUAGGGUUUUGCGUGAAGUUGAGGAAGAAGAAAGGUGACAGUUGGAAUGAAGAUGUGUUAAGGGUGUCGGCUGAUACAAAAGCUUUGGGGUUAAGAAUGAUUUUUAAGAUCUGGGUACAAAACCUGAGGCGAUUGACUAAUUUAGGGUUCGAUUAGGGUCUCUCAGUACACAGCCAUCCAUCCUUAAUGUUUAUUUGAUUCUUCUUUUUUAAUUAAGAUGAUUUCCGGCUGUUAUGGAAGAUGUUGAUAAAAAUUGGAAUUAGUAUGUAGCUGAUGAAUAUGAAAUGGAAGAUAUAGAUUCGGGUCAGAGAUAUUGCUUCAGAUAGUUUGUGAUGGAGAAGCUUCCUGAAUGGACUGGACUGAUAUAGUGAAUAUUGGUACCUUUAAGAAACAUGUUCCCUAUGAUCUUGACUGGUAUUACAUAUAAAGCUG